rnacentral:rRNA from 1 species
CGGGGCGGGGCCGCCGGUCUGCCGAUAGGUAUGCACUGGCGGGCGCGUCCUUUUUCCCGGAGACGGCUGCUACUCUUAACUGAGCGGUGGUCGGAGACGGGAUGUUUACUUUGAAAAAAUCAGAGUGUUUCAAGCAGGCAGUCGCUCUUGCAUGGAUUAGCAUGGGAUAAUGAAAUAGGACUCUGGUGCUAUUUUGUUGGUUUCGAGCACCGGAGUAAUGAUUAACAGGGACAGUCAGGGGCACUCGUAUUCCGCCGAGAGAGGUGAAAUUCUCAGACCAGCGGAAGACGAACCACUGCGAAAGCAUUUGCCAGGGAUGUUUUCACUGAUCAAGAACGAAAGUUAGGGGAUCGAAGACGAUCAGAUACCGUCGUAGUCUUAACCAUAAACCAUGCCGACUAGGGAUUGGAGGAUGUUCCAUUUGUGACUCCUUCAGCACCUUUCGGGAAACUAAAGUCUUUGGGUUCCGGGGGGAGUAUGGUCGCAAGGCUGAAACUUAAAGGAAUUGACGGAAGGGCACCACCAGGAGUGGAGCCUGCGGCUUAAUUUGACUCAACACGGGGAAACUUACCAGGUCCAGACAUUGUGAGGAUUGACAGAUUGAGAGCUCUUUCUUGAUUCGAUGGGUGGUGGUGCAUGGCCGUUCUUAGUUGGUGGAGUGAUUUGUCUGGUUAAUUCCGUUAACGAACGAGA